GUACAAUCGAGAAUGAAGUUUUCAUUCUGUACAUGCCAGAUCAUGAAUUAGUAACUGCUUCCAAUUUCCAAAAAAAAAUCCCAAUUGUGUCGAACUUUCCAUUCAUGCCAGAUCAUGAAUUAGUAACUGCUUCCAAUUUCCAAAAAAAAAUCCCAAUCGUGUCAAACUUUCCAUUUUUGGAAUAGUUACGGAAUCUCCAUGAUAGGAUCAAACCUUAUUCCAUGGUAUUUACAUGAGGUUCCUCUUUAAGA
rnacentral:lncRNA from 1 species